CCAUUAUUUCUAGUCCUUUACUAUAAAAUUUUUGUUCUUGAGAACUUACCAGAUUGGCUUUGGAUGACAAAUUAAUGCAGAGAUUUUGCUUCGACAUUCUUUUAUAAUAAAAUAUUAUAAAAAUAUUUAAAAUAUUAUAUAUUAUUAUUUUUUGAAUAUCACUUAUGAUUUCUCCACACCAUCAUCUCCUUCUCCCACGGCCCGCACAGCCUCCUCUCUUCGUCCGCCCUCCGUAUGCC
rnacentral:lncRNA from 1 species